GUGUGUGCGUGCGUGUGUGUGUGUGCCAGAGCUAGGCACAAGGUUUGUGACAGGUCAUUGGAUAAUUGCUGUUUUGUAAUUGCUAGAGUUAAGUUAACUUAGAUUUUUGGAGAACAUUAGUUUUCUGCCCCUCCCCCACUCCAAAAUGAGUGGCAUUAUCCAUUCUUUUUAACUACCCUCCCUCCUGCUUACGGAACAUCUGGAGACUUGAAAAUGAGUUUUCUCAAAACUUGUCUGUCGAAUGCUUUUUCACCUGACCUUUGCCAUCCUUUCUUUUUGUUUGGUCAGUUCCCAGCCUCCAUUGUCUCUUCUCAAGCCCGUCCUCUAAGAAAUGAUGGGUGAUGGAUUGCUAGAGGCCAAGUUCUCUACUAUUUUGCUCUCUUCGGGGAGUUAAAAGAUGAAUCAGUAACAACGUAAAGAAUGCAGUUCUAAUGCUAGUGCCAGGUGUUCCUGAUACCGUGAUUUUUCUGGGCGUCUGCUUAGAGACCUUUAGAUAACUAGAUAAUGCAGGCAAGUUUGUUGUGUCUUGUACUUUGUGUGUGUUUUAAGAAAAUGGAGACUUCAUCUUGCAGAAGAAUUCCAUCUGAACUGAGGACCAUUUUUAUUAUCAAAUUUUCUUCUGGAAAUUUGAAAUUCUGACUUAGGCUACUUCGUCUUAAGAUGAACACUGAUUUAUAUUUUGUGUAUCCUAUGUAAUCUGACCCCAUAGUCCCAAAUCAUUUAAUGUAAACCACCUUUUCAAAUUUGUAGAAAUGCGUUGUUAACUCUCAGGAUCAAAUUAGUGUUUUUUUCCAGGUAACACCCCAAAUUAACUAUUUUAGAUUUCUCUGCACAAGAGAAAACCUUCAGACUUUCAUUUCACUGAAUUUUUAGGAAGAGUUUGUUAGGAGCCAGAGUGGCACUUUUCUGACCGGGCAUUUUUCUGUUUCUAGUGAUUUGUGGUGAUUGUUGGAGAAUACUCAUUUCUGAAUGCUUCAUUAUGUUUGACCAGCCCAGAAAUAGACUUGUGACGGGGCUAGGAAAUAGUCGUUUUAUAGGAUCUUUGAGAAUUAAAUCAACUCAGCGGUCACACUACUGACGUUGACAGGAGUCGUGGCGACGGGGUGAUUUUGAUAAUGAUGAAUUGUCUGCCCUCAUUUUUACUGAUGCAAGGACUUCGAUUAAAGUUAAAUCAAGAGACCACCAAAGUUUAAAACCCUGAAAUUACAAAUAACUUUGAGUGGUUAGAGUGAACAUUGAAUUUUCUUAAUUUUUGGUUUACAAACAUUUAGUGCCUGAGUUUUAAGAACCUAAAAACAGACAUACCCUCUCAGUUAUGGGUACCAAACAUUACAUGCCAGUGUGUCCAGUACUUUUAGUGCAAUUAACUUGUUACUUUUAAAAUAAAGUAUAAGGAAGUGUUGGAGUUUU